GUCCUCCCUGUAGCUCAGUGGUUUGAGCAUCCAACAGGUGUGCGGAAGGUCAUGGGUUCGACUCCCGUCGAGGACA